UACACGCUUCCCCUUACCUCUUCCUUCGUCGCUCGGGUCCCCCAGUCUUCGUCGCCACCGCCGCACUACGACACAAGGUCAUCUGCCCCCGCCUCCUUCACUCCCUACCAUCCCACCCCCAUUUUUUGUUGCCGUCGACGGCGGCGAUCUUGGUGAAGGUGAGCCGCGAUGCCCUGCUUCCGGUGAGUCUGCCCUGAAGGAUAGCGUGGAAGCAAAUUAGUGCGGGCUCCGUCGGCUGAGCAGCCGUCGGCCGGCCUCCGCGUAGAUGGCAUGGCGGACCGUGGACGUGGUUGGGUCGGCUCCAGAGUGGCCGUCGAAAGGGACGCGGUGAUUCUAGAUCUACCCAUCUGGGCUUUGCGUGCGUGACAAUGGCGCUGGCACAGACGGGCCUGAACCGAACGUGUCAUUUAGGUUCAUGUGCAAUAGAGCAUAGUACAGGGAGUGUUUCUUCUCAAAUUGUCCUGCUCCAAUCGGCCUCAACCAUGGCGUGGUCAGCGGCAGCAGGAGGAUGCAGGUCGUGGGUCAUGCUGACAAUUGUGCUGCUGCUUGCUGGAUGGUGAGGUUGUUCGGAUAUGCGGCCACAGCGAGGGGAGCAGCCUAGCAUUGACUACUGGUUCAUGCUCUCUGUCCCUCAUUAGAGCCGCCCAUGUGUAUGUAUUGAGCAAGUUCACCACUGCAAAUUCUUGAUGAUACUACUGUAUACUGGUGCCUAGAUCAUCAAGGAUUAUAAUAGCCCUUGGAAGUGGUGCUGCACAACAACGAAGACGAGUGGCCAUGGGAAAUGCAUGCAGUUCUACAUUGAUAGAGGUUUACCCGCGAGAGUUGUCGAGUUCUCAAAAGACCGAAUUGAUAAGCAUGCUUCGCUCCCACCAAUGUUCUCAGCAAAUUUGCUCUCAUGAACAGAUCUAUUUCUUCACCAAAAAUUGUUAUGAGAUAUUCUAUUUUUCUUCAUCCAUAUUUGCUUUUAGGUAAUGAGAUUGAGUCCUAUUUCUUCAGAACUGCUGCAUGUAAAGUUCAGUAUAAAUCUGACUUUUAUGGACAUGUAAGGUGCUUGAAAAUUGCGUCAAAAA